UGGCACCCCUCAUUAGGGCACCCUCCUCUCCUUCCCUUCCAUUUCUGAUCAGCAGCCCCUUCACCUCCUUCUCUCUCUAAGUUUCAAAUUUUGAAAACUCUCUCACUUCUCUCUAAGAUUUCUUCACCUAAAUCUCUCUAAACCACCAAACUUCCUUCACAAAGAUUGUUCCCCUCACUCUCCUCUUCACAACCAUACCAUUUUCAUGGUGUGAAUCAAAAAUUUCGUGUCCCUUAUCAUCCCAAACAGCCAUGGUUUUGUGGAGAGCAAAGGCUAUGGAGUUGUGUUCUUGAGCUCUCUUGAAGAAUCACACUUGCUUGCUUGUUUCCUUUGAUUUUUGGGUGUGUGCUUGCCUAAAGGUGUGUUCUUGGUGGAAAAAGGUGGAGACUUGAGCUAAAGGAGAAACCUUGAAGAUGUGUGCCUAGAGAACCGUGCACUUGAGGAUUUUGUUGGAGC